AAUUAUUGACUACUGAUUUUCAAAAUUAUCACAACUAACGAAUUCCUUAAAUAUAAUCAAUUUGUCAUGUAUUGCACAUGACCCACUCAAUCCACGUCUUAUAGUGAUAAUUUUGAAAAUGGACAUGAUUUAUAAUCAUUAGCAAGAGAAUAUAUAUCAUUAUCUAAGGUACCAACUUGACAAAUAGUUUAAGUUAUAGUUUGAAAAACUUUAGAGUUUUUCAUAGAAUUAGAUCUAUGGUUGAGCAGCUUGGGCUUGGGAUUGUACAUAAAUGGAAAUUGACAAUUGCCUUCUGAUGUGACAAUGAUGGAUUCCGAGCGUGCUCGUGGGAUCUCAAAAGGUCACUUCAAUCAUCAUACACGAGAGAUUUCAAAUGGAAGUGGCACUAACUAGUUACAUCUAUAAUGAGUGUGAUUAAAAGGACUUCCACAAUCAUAUACAUUAAUUUUCCUUUAGCUAAAGUCCUUGAUUGCCUUGAUAAUAUAUCUAAUCAUUCCAUGAACUUUAUUGGGUCGAGAGCUUUGGUUUCCAUUAGCUUCGAAGCAAAGUGCUUCCCUUAAAGGUACUUAAAUUAGUUAAUUUACAGGUAAAGACUCUUUUUGAAAUGAAAUGAAUAAAUAUGAGUCUUUACAUAUAAUAACUCAUUAUAAAUAUUUAUUUUUAAAUGUAAGAUAGAUCUUGUUUAUGUUGGAUCAUAAUCUAAUGCCCAUUUGAGUUUGUGCUGAGUACUAAAUUAAUAUUUAAUAACUAAUUCGGUCUCAUGUAGAACAAUUGGUGAUCAUUGAACUAGUGUCCGACACAAACUCAGCUGAGCAUUAAAUCUAUUUCUAAGAUUUUUAAGUUAUGUAUGGCAGUUUUUUGAAAUAUGUUAUAAUAUUAAAAAUUAUAAUUAUUAAGUUAAUUAUUUGUAAGUGUGGGUAUAUUUUUAAUUUAUAUUAAUCAUAUAUUUAUUGUUGAAAAUAUUAUCUCACUAGGUUGAGAAUAAUUUUUAAACUAAUAAUAAAAUUAGCGAUAACUCUCAAUUCAUAAAUUAACUUUUGAGUAUGAAUUAUGUUCAUAUACUUUGUAUACACUGUAAUUUUGUAAAUUUAGACUACUAAAAAGGGGCUCUUAAUGGAAUUUCAUCAGAUUAUUUUGUAAUUUUCAAAAGAGAAAUCUAUCUCUUCUCGCCAUGUGUGUUGUACACGUGCUUGUUGAAAAAAAAUUCCGAUCGAUCAGAACUUUCACAUCCACCAAAAGCAGCCAUUCUUUUGAUCUCACCUUGAAUUUUUUGUGGUUAAUAUCUUUUCGGGAAUCGCUCUCCCCGUCACAAUUUAGAACCUUAAAAGCAAUCAUGAGCAAGUCAAUAGUGGGGUUAUACACCUUUUUUUUUUUUUUUUCCUUAAUAGAAUCCACAGUUUUACUAAAUUAUUAUAACAACAAACCCUAAAAAGGACCCGUGCAAAGCCUCCAUUUACGAUAUUAAUUAAAUAAAAAUUAACUUUAAAGAGGGAGGGGCAUAUUCAUUUCUUUGUUUAAUUAAUUUAUUCAAGGGUUGUUUCUUCAUUUGAACCCACCUUCUUUUGAUUCUUGUGACCCCAUCACUUCAAUUUCAUUGUUAAUUGCAUUAAUUAUUCAUCCAAAACACAUAAUACCAUUUUAUAGAUAUAAUUUUUUAGUACCAACCGUGAUCAUCAUCAUGUGGUGGUUUGCAUCGCUAUGUCGUCGUAUAAUAAGUCAAAUACAAAUUUAGUGUUGUUAUAAAAUAAACAAUAAAUAACAUUAUAAUAGUCUUGAAACUUGAUUUGGAAGAGGACUCUGUGGUCGUCAACUCCUGGUCGCUGUGAAGUCUUAUUCUUUUGAGUCACACACAGGGAAUUAUAUUUUAUUUGUUAAUUGCUUAUUGACUAUAUGUUUUAGGCUCAUUAGGUAAUGGAUUUGUUUAUAAUUUUGAAUAUAUUCUGAUAUCGAUCAUUAUGUCGUAUUUAAUAAUCAUCAAGAUAGCCCUGCUGGACAUUUGUUGUUACACACCGUAAGCAAAACACACUAAUUAACGUGUGUGCUCGCAGCUAAACAGUGUUUAAAUCUAGGGGAUUAAUCCUUGCGUUCUAUCGAAACUCAAGCUUAGAAUACUAUUGUCUAAUCCCUUUCCUUCAGCAUAACUUUUUAGGUUAAAAGGUUUCGCGGCAUAGUAUCCGAGUAGGUUAGUCUUGAAUGUUUUGUAUUUAAAUCUUCAUAUAAGAAUGAAAUUCACACAAAAUAGAAUAAAUUGUCUGUGUUGAAUUCACGUGAUAUGUCCAAUUGAGUGUUACGGAUGACACAAAAUGUUAGACAAACUCAUACUGUGUUUACUAACCAAGAAUGGGAAUCGAAAUGAGAGAAUCAAAAUGAAUAACUUGUUUACUGUUAAAUUAAGGUUGGAAUUGAGAAUGAGUUUCACAGGUCUCACAUAAAUUUUGGAUUGAUUGCUAGAGUUUUGAUUGCUUGAGGAGGGGUUGGGAAUGGGAACCCCAUUCCUCGGAAUGACAAAAUUAUCCCUAAUACACUUUUAAUAUAUCCAAAAUACCAUCUUUAGAAAUU
rnacentral:lncRNA from 1 species